AUUGAACGCUGGCGGCAUGCCUUACACAUGCAAGUCGAACGGUAACGGGUCCUUCGGGAUGCCGACGAGUGGCGAACGGGUGAGUAAUAUAUCGGAACGUGCCCAGUAGUGGGGGAUAACUGCUCGAAAGAGCAGCUAAUACCGCAUACGACCUGAGGGUGAAAGGGGGGGAUCGCACGACCUCUCGCUAUUGGAGCGGCCGAUAUCAGAUUAGCUAGUUGGUGGGGUAAAGGCCUACCAAGGCAACGAUCUGUUGUUGGUCUGAGAGGACGACCAGCCACACUGGGACUGAGACACGGCCCAGACGCCUACGGGAGGCAGCAUUGGGGAAUUUUGGGCGAUGGGCGCGAGCCUGAUCCAGCAAUGCCGCGUACAGGAAGAAGGCCUUCGGGUUGUAAACUGCUUUUGUCAGGGAAGAAAUCUUCUGGACUAAUACCCCGGGAGGAUGACGGUACCUGAAGAAUAAGCACCGGCUAACUACGUGCCAGCCGCCGCGGUAA
rnacentral:rRNA from 1 species